GAAGGCUCCGGGCGUCCUGACAGCCGGGUCCCCGCGGACCGUGACCACAGAGGGGAGACUCCCAUCGGGGGCAGCUCCACAAGUCCUGCCCUGUCUCCCACAGCCCCCUCGAGGCUCCACCGCGUCCUUUCCGCGGGACCUGUCUAGGAAGGGGCCUGGGGACCCGAAGGAGUCCGGGAUCAGAGUGAGAGGCGCUGGCACUGGAGUAGGAAGCUCGGCUGCUGCUGUUACUGCUCCCUCUUGGGCUUCGGCGAGAACCUUUGCUUGUCAAGCAAGAGGGGUGAGGAUCAUAUUUUCUUUAUUUUGGAAAGUAAAAAGUGCUCCCAGGGUCGGUGAUUAUUAAGGGGAAAUCCCUGAAUAUACUCUCAAGCCAAGAAGGCAGGGCUGCCGGGCUGCACAAGAAGAAGCACCAGCCUCCUACAGCACCACUACAGGCACUGCGAGGACAUAACACCAGAGAGCGGCUCCUCUGCCCUCCGAAACGACAACUUUCCUACCAUCUUGGAGCAGCAGAGGGGGCCGGGGGAAAAAGUGCACUCGCUCCCGAGAAAGUACAAAUUUCUUCUCAUCUCUGGAAAAAAGUCCACACUGGCCGUCUACACCGGCGCCUGAGGGGACCGGCAGCAAAGAAUCUGGGGGUGUAUGAGCCACGUUUUCAUUUGUUCCAGGGGAAAAAAUGUUUCUGCGUCUUCUGAUGGAAAGAAAUCUUUACAGGACACAGGUUUUCCGUUAGGAAGGUUAUCUUUCCUGUCAGAGAGGAUGAGCCUUCUUGGCCUCAAAGCUAUCCAACAAGAUUCUAAAUUCUCCUGCUUGGUAGUUUCCAAGGCCUCACCACUGCCACCAUGAGGGAUCCAGUCUCCACCACAUGCUCAUGCCCUCACCUCAGGCCCACAGCAGUGGAAUCAACCAUGGACUGAAAAACUCUGAGCCCAAAUACACCUUUCCUCCUGCAAGUUUUAGGCUCAGGUAUUUUGUCCCUGUGAUGAAAAAGCUGGCAACACAUUGUCUCUGAAGUCCUCAGAUGCCAACAUGAGUCCACAGUGACCUAUUCUUACUUUAAUGCUUUGAGUUGUUUUCCAGGGUUCUUUGGUUUGCUUUUAGUUUUGUUUCUUCACAUAUGCAGGAGGGGCUGGAGUGGCUAAGAGCCUAGCUAGUAAAGCCAAGAUCCUCUAGUUUAGAAAUGGGGCUCCUGGGCUGGGGAUCAGGCUCAGCAGCACAGGGCCUGCCCAGCAAACAUGAGGCGCUGAGUUCAAUUCCCGGUCAAAAAAAAAAA